UACGAAGGGGGCUAGCGUUAUUCGGAAUCACUGGGCGUAAAGGGCGCGCAGGCGGUCAUUUUUGUCGAGUGUGAAAGCCCCGGGCUUAACCUGGGAACUGCGCUCGAAACGGGAUGACUAGAGAUCGGGAGAGGAGAGUGGAAUUCCCAGUGUAGAGGUGAAAUUCGUAGAUAGUUGGGAAGAACACCGGGUGGCGAAGGCGGCUCUCUGGACCGAUACUGACGCUGAGGCGCGAAAGCGUGGGGAGCAAACAGG
rnacentral:rRNA from 1 species